CCGCUGGGGAUUGCAGUCCAACUGCUUCCGCCUGUGUCUCACGCCACGGGGAUGAAUGGGAAACUGCGAGGAAGGGGAGGGGCUUGUUGCCUUGGAUACUCACUAGAACUACAUGUGAUUGAAUUCUCUGCUGUUCUCUUUAACUUUGUGAAGUGAUCGGCGUAAUGGCACAUGCACAGUUAGAGAAAUUUUCCGGUUCACGACAAUUGCACAUUCGCUGAAAGAGACGGAAAUUGCUGAAGGGGAAGAAGACACGGCUUAAAGAGUCUGCCUUGAUGUGGUCACAGGCUUCAUAAUCCUUUGGCCUAAAUUGCUUUAAAUGUUUUAGCCCUCGGGUCUGUGUGACCUUUAUUACUGUGGUGUGAGUGGGGCACAGGGGUGGGAUGGGUGGGUGGGUGGCAUAUUGGGGGUGGGCAGGUGUCUGGGAAAAUGUCAUCAUAGUGUGCCAUGUUAUUUCUUAUAGCAGCCCUAUUGCCAACCUUAAUCCAGGUGUCCCCAGGAGGGCUAUGGCUGAUGGCUGUGUAAUAGUUGAGUGCAGUGUAGGAGGGAGAGGCAGGUGAGGGUAGUUAGAAGAGCGGACAGAGGCUCCAAUGAGGAGACCAGUUAGGUUAGUACCAUGUGGUGCCAAUGCCAACAGUAUAAGGAUUCCAGUGGUCAGGAGAUUCCAGGAGUAAAACCAACUGUGAGCCUCACCUGCUGCCGGCCAGUCACCAAGGUAGGAGCCAAACAGGACUGGGACAAGAAAAGGGCCUGUGUGGCCCAAACAUGUCGUGUGGUAACACAAUAAUAAGCUGAAUUGCAGUUAAGCUGCCGUUGUGAGUGAUUCCCAACCUCAGGGUCGGACUGGGGGGAACGGGGCCCACCGGGACUGCUGCCAAGGGUCCCCCUCCGGCCACCUGUCCCCCACUGUAACACGCCCGCUCAGCAUGCGCAACAGCGUCGCUUGGAGCGCAGGCGGCGCUGCAUAGCACCGGGAAUUUUUUUUUUUCAAAUUUAAUUUAAAUUUAAAGAGGUGUUCUGGCCCGGCGGGGGCCCAUGAGGGUCGGGGCCCACCAGGUAUUUUCCCGGUGUCCCGCCGGGCCAGUCCGACACUGCCCAACCUCCACAUUAUAUUGAACUUACACAGGAUGUCAGAGCAUCCCGGGAACCACCACAAGAACUAAGAGUUAAAACGUCCGCUAAUUAGUCAACUUCCAUAUAAUAUUUAUUCUUGACAGGGAUAGGACUGAUGGUGGCUGAGAAUGAAAGUUUCUGCACAUUUUCCAAGUCUGAAUUCUCAGCUCCUUCAGAUCAGUCGCCUUUCUGUUUUCCAUCAGUAGAGAUUUCCUAGCCCCGCCUACUCUGUACCGCGUUGGUGCAUUUUCCUGUCUGUAAACUGUGCUCUGAUUGGACAAGCUGCAAACCCACAUAUAUCCAAUCAGAGUGGAACUAUCUCUUCAGCAUCGGGUCUCAAGGCGGGACCUUAACUUUCCUUCGCCAAUUAAAGAACCAUCAUUGUCAACAAGGAGUAGGUUUUAUAUUUUAUUUAUUUUUGUUUUAGGUGUCAGAUUUGCUUAGCCUCCCCUAGUCUUAAUGAAAAUCCAUCUAUGCCGAUGGCACAACCUGUGGGAGCUGCUCUUGCCAUGAAGCAAAAUAAGGGGGAUUAUAUUAAAAUCUCCAUAUUGGUGUAAAUCCUCCUCUUUCUCCUCCUUCGGCCUCCUCAAUGCUCUGUGUUAGUCCCAGGUCCAGUAACACUCGAUUUUGGUCCAGGGCUUGGGUUUAAACGUAGUUCCUGCGGUUUCUUUGAGGCACUGGAACCCUGGGCAUCUUCUGGCCGGAUCUCUUUUGUUUUGGGGACACGGAGGGGUUAACCCUUCCUCCACCAGUAAAGCAAAGAGGACCCAGGGGACAAGUCACAUGUAACACAGGUUCUACAAGGAGAUGUUGGGAGUUGAGAUCAGUUUGGGUUCAUCUAAAGGUUUACCAUCUGGGGUGAUUUAGCUCUUAGCUGCCCAAAAACCUGUUGCAAUAAUAAUAAUAAUCAUAUCAAUGUGAAUAUGGAAUGUACCACAUCUGGAGAUUAGAGGAUAUUUAUCAAUUUAGACUUUGUUCUUAGGGCAAUGACACACGGGGAAUUUUGUCACCAGCGUUAAAAAAUCACUACAUAAAAUUACAUAAAUUACAUAAAAGAAGUCAGCUCUGCUCUUGUAGUGAUUACAAGGUUAGUGAACUAGGGCGAUGUGAUGUAAAUAGUUUUGUCUUGUAUUUUCUGUUGACUUUGAUUUACUACCAGUUAGCGCUGUGCUUCUAAAAUGCUUUGUAAUAAGUCUGUAUCUAACUCCCGAUCACCAGUAGAAAGUCUUUCAAAUGAAAUGUGUUACUAACCCUAGAAUAACACUAGAUGGCUCUGUGCUGUAAACUAUUUAAAACCAAUAUUUAGGGCAUUGUGUUAGGCUUGAUGAAGAACUGCCUGUGCUGGAAGCCUUUCCUUUACCCUGACUUUUUCCUAUUUAGCUUUUUAUCAGAAACCACUUAAUUAGAACCAAAUGGGUACUUAAAAAUAAACUUAGACCAUGAAUACAA